rnacentral:rRNA from 1 species
AUUGAACGCUGGCGGCAUGCUUUACACAUGCAAGACGAACGGUAACAGGGAGCUUGCUCCGCUGACGAGUGGCGAACGGGUGAGUAAUGCGUCGGAACGUGCCGAGUAGUGGGGGAUAACGCAUCGAAAGGUGUGCUAAUACCGCAUACGUACUGAGGUAGAAAGUGGGGGACCUUCGGGCCUCACGCUAUUCGAGCGGCCGACGUCUGAUUAGCUAGUUGGUGAGGUAAAGGCUCACCAAGGCGACGAUCAGUAGCGGGUCUGAGAGGAUGAGCCGCCACACUGGGACUGAGACACGGCCCAGACUCCUACGGGAGGCAGCAGUGGGGAAUUUUGGACAAUGGGCGCAAGCCUGAUCCAGCCAUGCCGCGUGUCUGAAGAAGGCCUUCGGGUUGUAAAGGACUUUUGUCCGGGAGCAAAUACCCAGUGCUAAUAACGCUGGGGGCUGAGAGUACCGGAAGAAUAAGCACCGGCUAACUACGUGCCAGCAGCCGCAGUAACAC